UGGGGAAUAUUGGACAAUGGGCGCAAGCCUGAUCCAGCCAUGCCGCGUGUGUGAAGAAGGCCUUUUGGUUGUAAAGCACUUUAAGCGAGGAGGAGGCUACUUGGAUUAAUACUCUAGGAUAGUGGACGUUACUCGCAGAAUAAGCACCGGCUAACUCUGUGCCAGCAGCCGCGGUAAUACAGAGGGUGCGAGCGUUAAUCGGAUUUACUGGGCGUAAAGCGUGCGUUGGCGGCUUCUUAAGUCGGAUGUGAAAUCCCUGAGCUUAACUUAGGAAUUGCAUUCGAUACUGGGAAGCUAGAGUAUGGGAGAGGAUGGUAGAAUUCCAGGUGUAGCGGUGAAAUGCGUAGAGAUCUGGAGGAAUACCGAUGGCGAAGGCAGCCAUCUGGCCUAAUACUGACGCUGAGGUACGAAAGCAUGGGGAGCAAACAGG
rnacentral:rRNA from 1 species